CUCUGAUAGCUGCUUCAGUUCUCGUGGUGUCGACUUUGAGGGCGGAACAAGUCUCGGCUCUUUCUUUCUCACCGUGAACACCAGGGAGGAUGGAACUGGGUGCCAUAGUUAAGGAAACUAUUGAUAAAAUAUCUAGGAGAACAACAGAGAGAACAUUGGAUCAAAAUUUGAAAAAAUAUUACGAGUUUUUCGAAAAUCUCUACUUUGCACCUUUAAACGUUGCACUCAAUUUAUGUGCUCCUUAACGUUUAAAUAGUACAGUCAAACGUUUAUACAUGGGGGGUGGGGGGCUUUUUCUUGUGGGGUGAGAAAGAGAGAGAGAAGAGAGAGAGAGAAGAGAGAGAGAGAGAGCGAGAGAGAGGAGGAGGAGGAGAGGAGGAGGGAGAGGAUGGUAGGGCAGGGAUUGCUGGCGAUGGGAUGAGGGCCGGGUUACUAGGGGUAUGGCAAAUAGGGCUAUAUGUUAUUAUUGAUAGUUAUGUAUAAAAUAUUUCAAUUGGAGCAGAGAGAAAACCUUUGGAUUCAAAUAGAAUCACCCCAAUAUCUCAUUCAAUGAAUAUUCAGUAGAUUGACUUUUUUAGAGCAUUUUCAACCUAAAAUCUCUAAAACUCCUUUUUAAAUGUUUAAAAUUUAAUUAUUCAUUAAAAAGUGGAUUUAAAUGUGUUUACUCUCAUCUCCAACCCAAAUCUUUAUUUUUAUUUGCAAGAUGGAGGCUUGAUUUUGAUUUCCAAAUUUAGGCCAUUCAAAAUUUUGAUGACCUAUCUCCAUUUUGUUUUUUUACUUUUUUUAACUUAAAAAUUCUAACUUUAACUCUUAACCUUUUAAUAUCUAAAUCUUUAUACCAUCAACGUCAUUUGUACUUUAUUAUAUUUUGAUAAAAUAUACAUAACUUUUAAUAUAGAUAUAGAUAGAUAGCCUAUUUCAAUCAUAAUUUGAGCCUUUCAAAUGAGGUCUUAGAGAUUUUGAGUUGGAGAUUAAUUAUCAUGACAGAGAUAUGCAUUACAACAAUGGGAUGGUACAUGAUAUUGCUUAGUGUCACAAUAAAUCUAAGUGACAAUAGACCUAUAAGUGUCGCAACAUACGAAUCAAAUCAAGUGAAAGCUAUUAAUCACUCUUGUUUACUCUCAACUGAUCAAAGCAAAUUUAAAUUUAGAGCUUGGACACAACUUGUGGGCUUGUAACAAAUGGAUCAUCCACUUGCUCCUCCCAGUCAUUUCUUCAACUUCUCUAUGAAAACUUUCAUAGCGGCUUUGGCAAACACAUUAGUAAACAAGUCCCAUCUUACCCUGUGUCUUUAAAACUGCAUAGAAGCUAACACAGGGGACGCCCUAGCUGGGCCGCCAUAGACCGGCUUCCCCCACCCAAAAUCUAUCGUGUCAAAGCCAACACGGGUAUUAUCAGACACAAUAUAGUUCCCUGCCACCGUAUAGAGAGGUCGUCCCUUAGUCACCAUAAGAUCUGCCACUGACCUAAAAUACUCUCUAGUCAUUCUGGCCUUCGCCUUCUUCACCUCCUCUAACGCGUAUUCCAACGGAGAAGUAGAAAUCAUUCCAACUCUCGAAAUUGAAGCCGGAUAGGCAAUGACAUUUCCAUAGUAUCCUCGAGGUACACGCAGGCCGUGCUUUCCACGUCCGUUGGCUAUGCAAGAGAUGCGAACCGUCUCAUUAGGGUCUAGCCCAAGUGCACAAGUGCCGGAACUCAUAAACACCGGUCAGGACGUCGAAUGUGGAGCUUGUUGACCACGGUGGUGUGCGGGAGAUGGUUCGAAUGGCUAUUAUUCCUGGGACCAAAAAAAAAGAUAGUGGUCUGCUUUUGUGUUGUCAUCCGUGGUGGUGUUUAUCACUUGUCGUAUUCGUUGAUGCUGGAAUGUGAUGGACGGAGGGUGUCUCGCAGCUAGUAACUCCCUUUGCCACACGGUGGAACAGGAAGGUGCACCCUCUACCCCUCGGCAAACUCAGCAAUUGUAGUUAAAAAUUGGACCAACCC
rnacentral:lncRNA from 1 species